ACAGUAAUGGCAAAGCUAGAUUUUCAGUAUUAUUACUCCAGUCUUCAGUAUCACAUGAUUCUUCAGAAAUCAUUGAUUUGCUGAAACAUUUCUUAUUAUUAUCAUGUGUUUGUGCAAACUGUGAUACAUUUUUAUCAAGUUCAAAGCAAUGCUACUUUGUUUGACAUUUGAAAAUCUGUAUUAAUCUGACACUAGUUUGACCAGUAAACCCAUUCUGUUAUAUUCAUAAUUGGUUCAUAUUUAGUCUGGUCAACUUUUUAAAUGCAUGCAUAAAAAUUUCAUUGAGUGAAAACAUUAUUUGUUUCCACACUGAACUCAUUGACUCGUGGAAAGAAGAGCUGCCUAGUACAAGCCGUGUUUGUGGGAUCCUAGUUCAGUGGCUAUUUAAGUUCAGUCCAUGUGAAAUUCCCAUCACUUUAAAUUGGCAGUUUCUCUUAGCAGUCCUUACCACACUGGCAUCCCAAAUGUAGAAUGAUUAUGUAUAUUAUGUAAUAUGUUACAUGAGUUACAGGGCCAUCUCCUUUUGUGUGAUUCAACUUGUGUAUAUAAACUAAAGAUUAACUGCUCAUAGUGGAUAGGAAAGGGGAAGAACACUAAUCAUAGUAGAUGCAGUUCUUGGCUACAAACCUUCAAUUUAGAGCUCUAAAUUACACGCAAAGUGCAAGCCUUAGAUCUGUCAUGGUCCAUGAUGGACAACUGAAUCAACCCACCGAAAAAUAAAAAAUAAAAAGAAGAAGAAAACUCUCAAACAAAACUCUGUCCACAGAAACCACUCAUCCAUUACACUGACUCCAGUUUUCGCUGAGCUGCUCCGAUGAUUCCAAAACAUUACGUCAUUGCACAGAGAGGGAACAUCGCUACUAUGGCCAGAGCGGCUGCCAAGGCGUCUGCACAGGACUGUACACUGGAUCCUUUGUGAUGUCCACAAUGUGUGUCCAAGGCAACCACUAGGUAGAGAGGACGGCCCAUAAUGGAACGCUUCUUGUCUUCUUCUCGACAACACAUGAGCUGGUAUUCUGGGCUUCAGUGUGCCCUAUUGGCCUAGCCACAGCCCGGCAGCCUUUCAUUACACUAGCCGAAGGAGGUGCCCUGGACAUCCCCAUCGAAGAUACCAUCACCACACCCCAAAGUGUGCCCAGCUCCGAGCUGUUCCCUGGAUACAACAACAAGAGAGAUGAGAAAACAGCCGCUCUGUUUGCACAUCAUUUAACUGGCAAUCAUCAAGAACAAGCGGUUUGGAAACUGGAUGGAUGGAUGUCAUGGCUGGAACUACACCGCCCCCUGCUGAUCAAAUAGAACUUGCAAGGCAGUUCCUUCCUUCCACAUUCUAUAAAAGGCGCAGGAGCUGCUUGGCCGAGGCGGCCUAACGGACACUGGAAGUGAAAAGCUGUCUCAUGCUUGAUUGGACCUUACCUCCUCCUAAACUCCUCAACCUGGCAGAGUGAACUCUGACCCCCAUCUGCGCCUAAGCUGUAGUGACACGGUCAAGGUGACAUGGCAGAGUGGAGCUGACUGAGGGAAAGGCUGUGCGCUGGGCUGUAGCCCAACAUGGUCACAUUAAGAGUCCACCAGUAAAUAAUUGAGAACGA
rnacentral:lncRNA from 1 species